rnacentral:rRNA from 1 species
ACCGUUUGCUCCCCUAGCUUUCGCGCCUCAGCGUCAAUGCCGGUCCAGGAUGCCGCCUUCGCCACCGGUGUUCCUCCAGAUAUCUACGCAUUUCACCGCUACACCUGGAAUUCCGCAUCCCUCUCCCGGAUUCAAGCCUGUCAGUAUCGGACGCAGUUCCCGAGUUGAGCUCGGGGAUUUCACGUUCGACUUAGCAGGCCGCCUACGCGCCCUUUACGCCCAGUAAUUCCG